rnacentral:rRNA from 1 species
GGUUGAUCCUGCCAGUAAUGAUACGCUCGUCUCAAAGAUUAAGCCAUGCAUGUCUAAGUAUACAAAGUCUACUUUGAAACUGCGAACGGCUCAUUAGCCAGUUAUAGUUUAUUUGAUGUAAAAAGGAGUAAUAUAUUGUUAUUGGUGUAAUGUUGUAUGAUAUGAUAUGUUGUAUGAUAUGAUAUGUUGUAUGAUAUGAUAUGAACUAAACAAUGAUGUACUAAAAAGAGUCUACAGGGAUAACCGUAGUAAUUCUAGAGCUAAUACCAGGAGUGAAAGGGAGGUGAUUGAUU